rnacentral:rRNA from 1 species
CUUGGCUGGCUGGGCUCCGGUGAGUGUAUGAAGCCACAAAAAGUAUGAAGGCUUUGCAAAUCAAUAGUUCUUGGUUCUGUAAAAUUAUUCUAGUUGAGUUGUUUGGACUCUGCAUUAGCUAAUCUCAAAUGCACAGCUUCUUUUAAAUUGUUGCUUUUUCCUUGUUUCAUAUUGAUGUUUGCAGUUAGAUAUAUUGUCUUUGACAUUGGAGCAUUAUGAUCUAGCUGCCUGUUAAUUUAAAUGCACUUCCCUGUUGAAGCCUGCUUGGCCACUCUGGUGCAUUGGCAAUACCAAGGUUUUAUAGGAAUUGAGAUGCAUGUCAUCUCACUUCACAUGAUUUUCCUAAACUAUGAACCAAAGGAGGCCUUAAAUUCCUUUGACCCAGCUGGCUGAUCAAAAGAAUGCUCUCCAUGUGUUUAUAUAGCGUUUUCCAACUCUGAUUGCUUAACUGCCAUUUGGCUGUACUUUUGGAGGGUCAGUAGGGUGUUUCUGCAGUGCCCUGAAGUUUCUAUUCUUGUGAUCUUUUCUGCCAACUGAAUAUUGUUGCUCUCAUUGGUAUGUGCACCUUGAGAUUAUCUUGUAUAUGUCUCAGAGGUGGUUGCUGGUUUCUUGUGUUAAUUUCUUCUGUAGUACUUCCUUCUGCCUGCAUUUUUCAUUGACUACAGUUUAAGCAUUUUGGAAUGGAAAAUGCUUAGUCUUGAGGCAUUUUGUUGUUGAGGUAUGUGGUUGACCGAACUGCCAGCCUGGUGAUUAGCCUAAGAACUGAAGAAUGAAGAUCUGAAUCUAAUUCUCCAUCGAAGCCUGCUUGGCCGCUGUGCUUGUUGCCUUUCUUUCUUGGCGGGGUUUCUAUGGGAAUCUCUGAUGCUAUUCUCACUUAACUCCUGCACCAUCUUUGCUUUGUUUCUGCAUCAAUUGGGUGGAGUGUUUCGCCUUGUGAACAAAAAAAUUAGCAUAUGAUGAUAAGCAAGACAGGGACUCUGCAGCGGCUCCGGCUCAGAUCAGGGCCGCGAAUGAUGCAUUCGUCUAGGGGAAUCUCUGAUGCUAAUCUAAAUUCACAGAAUCUUCAGUCUUUGCCUGAAUGGACAUGAAUACCACUGGUGUUUGCUAUUUGUAGCUGUUUUUGUAUGGAUUUUAAUCUGACGUUUGCUAAAUUUGUGUUGCAACAAAUCCGGUACAAACAUAAUUAGCAAAUGACGGUAAGCAAGACAGGGACUCUGCAGUGCUCCCGAUUUCAGAUUGGGGCCGCGAAUGAUGCAUCCGUCUAGGGGAAUCUCUGAUGCUAAUUUCCUUUUAGCUUUUUUCUCCUUGCAUUUUUUAUCUUGAUUUAGGUGCUAUUAACUGUGGUAAAUACAGUGUGAGCAUUUUCACAAUGAAUUCUUUUAGCCGUAGGCACUUCCUUGUUCAGAUAAGUGGGGUGCACUGAACUGCCAGCCUGAUGAUUAUCCUCGAGAAUGGAGAUCUGAAUCCACUUCUCCGUGGAAGCCCGCUUGGCCGCUGUGCUUGUUGAAUAUCCUGGUUUCUUGGCUGGGUUCCUCCAGGAGUAAAAUGCAAAACCCCCAAAGUGCACCCAUCCAUUGAUGCAUCUCUCUCACACACACACACAUGUACGCAUGAAGCAGGCCAAAUGGGCUCCGGGAGUGGAUGUGUAGAAGCAAAAGUUAUGAAGGCUUUGGCAGAUCAGAUGAAUGUCCCCACUAGAUUCAUGGUAUGCUUGGAGAAGUACUAGAUGUUAGUUUGAGGCUGCCCACCUUCAAUGGUUUAAUGCCCUGGUGUUUUGCUGUAGAAAUCAUCGUGCCAAUAUUUGUUGGGUUCUGAACAUAACUUACCUUCAAUGGUUUAAUGCCCUGGUGUUUUGCUGUAGAAAUCAUUAUGGCAAUAUUUGUUGGGUUCUGAACAUAACUUGUGUGUGAAUUGUAGUACUUAUGUUUGGGCAUAGCAAGAUUAGCAGAUAUGGGAAUCAAGGCCAGAAUAUGUAAUAGUGUCUGUUUAUCAAAUAUGGAACCUUGUGUGCUUGGCCAGCCUGAUGAUUACACCUGUUCAUAAAGAAUGAAGUUCUAAGGUCUGAAUGCUCUUCUCAGUUCCGUUGAAGCUCGCCUAGCUUAGGUUGCUGUGGUGGAUCCUACUCCCUCCUUCCCAAAAUAAUGUACUCCCUCCGUCCACAAAUAUAAGAUGUUCUAACUUUUUGCUGAAUUGGAACAUGCAUGCACACAUGCAUAUAUAUAUAUAU